UUUAGGUAGAGGCGCGGUGCUUCAAGAGUAACGCAGUCCAGUAUGCCCGGUGGGGCUCAGACUGUGGGAAAGGGGAGACCGCCGAAGAUGCUUUCCGACGGGAAGGCAGUCUGGUACAGGGGAAUAAGAUCCGUUGUACUGUCGCAUUUCAUGCGGAGAGCUAUCGGGU
rnacentral:ncRNA from 1 species